rnacentral:tRNA from 1 species
UCCCUGGUGGUCCAGUGGUUAGGACUCUGUGCUUCCACGGCAGGGAGCAUGGGUUUGAUCCCUGGUUGGGGAA